UCCACAUGACGAUCAACCAUGCUAAUAUUGAGAGAACUAUAGGUUUUCGCUGAGUAAAACAAAACUUCUCACUUAAACUGAUGGAA
rnacentral:snoRNA from 2 species